rnacentral:tRNA from 1 species
GCAGAUAUAGCUCAGUGGUAGAAUACAUGCUUAGCAUGCAUGAGGUCCUGGGUUCAAAUCCCCAGUAGCUCCA